rnacentral:rRNA from 1 species
UACGGAAGGCAGCAGUGGGGAAUAUUGCACAAUGGGCGCAAGCCUGAUGCAGCCAUGCCGCGUGUAUGAAGAAGGCCUUCGGGUUGUAAAGUACUUUCAGUCGUGAGGAAGGUGUUAAGGUUAAUAACCUUAGCAAUUGACGUUAGCGACAGAAGAAGCACCGGCUAACUCCGUGCCAGCAGCCGCGGUAAUACGGAGGGUGCGAGCGUUAAUCGGAAUUACUGGGCGUAAAGGGCACGCAGGCGGUUAAUUAAGUUGGAUGUGAAAUCCCCGGGCUUAACCUGGGAAUGGCAUUCAAGACUGGUUAGCUAGAGUCUUGUAGAGGGGGUAGAAUUCCAUGUGUAGCGGUGAAAUGCGUAGAGAUGUGGAGGAAAUACCGGUGGCGAAGGCGGCCCCUGGACAAAAGACUGACGCUCAUGUGCGAAAGCGUGGGGAGCAAAACAGGGAUUAGAUACC